UGCGGACCCGCGGUUCACGGCCUGUGGCAGCGCAGCGAGUGCCGCGUGGCGCCCGUGCCUGGUUCUGCCUGCGGUGAGUACCGCUGGCUUGUGCACAUACGGGUUUUAUGUGAACAGAAACUCCGUGUCUCGGGGCUGAGAGCCCGAGAGUGCAGUUGCCGGGUCGGUUCGUCGCACGUUCGCUUUUCCAAGCAGCGGCCAGACUGCCUUCCGCGCGGUCCCCGCCAGCCCCGGCGAGGGGGCCCGUCCGCGUCCCCGGGCACCGGGUCUGGGCUCCCGUCUGUGUUGGCCUCCCCGAGGGAUGCGCGCCUUUUCACGGCCUGUCUGCCCCCUGUGCGGCCUUCCUGGCGAAACGUCCCUUCGUGACUUCUAACUGGAGUCUUCGGGCGCCUCACUGCCGAGCCGCGAGUCCCUUGUUCUGUAGGUACUAGUCCUUGUGGGACGUGGGGUCUGCAGCGUGUCUGCUUUGGACACGGGACCGUAGGCCGCUGUGAAUCACCCGAAGGGCCGUGAAGACGUCGGCACCUUCACAUCACCCCCUUUUCUUCUAAAACUGCGGGUGGCUGCUCUCAGACCAUGGCAGUGGCCGGUCUCCAGAGGCCUUUUUGGUUUCGAGGGAGCCCCUGUGCUGUCCGGGGUCCCUGACAAGUCACGGUGCGGCCGCCGGCCUGACGUGUGAACACAAGGCUGUGUUUGAGGGGCUGUCCCCUCUGGUGUAUCUCCCUUAACCUGAGUCACUGUCCUUUUUUCAGUAUGUGUGUGGUUGGUUUUUUUUUUUUUUUUCUUCUUAGAUUUUAUUUAUUCAUUUGAGAGAGAGAGCGAACGAGCAGGAUGAGGGUUAGAGGGAGACGGAGAAGGGACUCGCUGCUGAGCGGGGAGCCCGACACGGGGCUGGGAUCAUGACCUGAGCCGAAGGCAGAUGCUUCACCAUCUGAGUCACCCAGGCGCCCCUCAGUACGUGGUUUUUAUCAUAAGGUUCAUGGUUUUUAUCAUAAGAAAAUACUUCGUCAUUGUCGUGGUGAAAAUCCAAACAGAAGAGAGGGGAGUCAGGCGUCUCCCGGACCCUGCGCCCCUCCCUCCCAGCGCCCCCAGCUCCCCGGAGACAGCUACUCUGACCUGCUGGGUGAUGCCUCCGGACCUUUUGUGGUCAUGGGGAAGCACACACGUGUGUAAUGACGUGUUUCUCUGAGUGUGCAGACCACACGCUGCUUCACUCUGUCCCUCAUGCCUCAUGCUCUAGCCGGGCCACCAGACAGAGCCACGCUGCCUGCCGUCUCCACUGCCGGCCCACCUCCUUGCUGCAUUUCUUGAUUCUGCUCUUAACCCUUUUCUCUCCCACUGAAGAGCACCCUUCUGUCUGCAGGACCAUGUCCUUCCAUCUCCCUGGGCCGCACAUGUUUUUCCCAUUACCCUCUAUUCCUUUGUUCAAGUCACACCGGCUGAUGCUCCCCGUGGGCCCUGGCUGUUCUAGGAGGGUGGGUGGAGCCACACGUUUUGACGGAGCGCGCGUCCUAACUCGGGGGCCGGACGAUGCCCGGCCAAGUGCGCCACCCAGAGAUCUGAGUCCCCCCAGACCGUGCCGCCCCCCUUGGGCCCCACGACCUCUCGAGUGACCCUUGAUGCCCUGAGCCAGCCCACCCUGCAGCCCCAGCUUCCAGAAGACCCUCCGCCUCUGGCUGAGAUGAUCUUCUUCCUGACUGUUGUCCCAAAUGGUGCAGGAGGAGGGGGCGCACAUGAGGGGUCGCAGUCUUCAACAGGGUGAGCAGGCAAAGCCUCACUCGAAGGAUUUCCAGGAGAACAUUCUAGAAAAAGGGAAGUGCUAAUGCAGAGGCCACGGGCCAGGUGUAGGUUCAGUGUUCAAGACAUAGCAUCAAGUCAGUGCCACUGGGUGAGUGCCCGAGAACAGAGGAGCUGGAGGGCUGUGGCAGAGAGACCUCGGCUCGCCGGGCACCGUGACCGCCCGUGCCUCCCAGCCCCCAGCGGCCCGUGGCCCACGUGCUCUGCUCCAGCCAUCUGCCACGGAGUGAUGAUGCCACCUCUGGGGGUGGGGAGGCACUCACCCCGGACGGCCUGGGUCGGUGUCCCCCCGUGGUGUGGCCGCUGCCCUGGAGAGCCGCCCGAGCUUCAGGGGCUCCUGUGAGUGGGAAGUGAAUCUGUGCUGUGUUGUGCCAUGACGUCGGGGUUUGUCUGUCACCCUUGCAGAAAGGAGCUCAUCCUGACAAAUGGAGAAGUGAGGCCAGAAGUGGGGGCAGGGCGGCCAGGCCCCAAAAGGCACCAGGGGUCCUUCGGGGCCACCAGCUUGCAACUUCGACUCUGCACGAGAUGGGAGCAGCUGUCUUCUGUCUGUCACGUGGCUUAGGCUUUUUGUUUGUUUUUGAGCAGAAAAUUUUUUAUGACAUGAAACAUAUUUUCCUUUCCUUAAUUGCCUCUGGCUUUUACAUCUUAUUCAGAAAGGACGUCCCCAGGUGAAAUUCUCCUACAUUUUCUUUGGCUUCUUUUGUGGUUUUAUUCUUUACAUUUAAAUCUCUGGCGCAUCUGAUGUUGGUUUUUGUGACACGAUGACUUCAUUAAUCCUAAUGGGUCUCCAGAUUUGGUGGCUCUAGGACAGAACUCACUUCCAGCUCUUUAGAACCCUCUUGGGGACGCCUGGUCGGCUCCGUCGGUGGAGCGUGCGACUCUUGAUCUUGGGGGUCAUGAGUUUGAGAGCCACACUGGGUGUGGAGAUGACUUCAAGAUAAAAUCCUAAAAGAAGCCUCUUGAGAAAUGUUUAGGGACUGUGGCUGGUCGGGGCAAGAAGGCAGAGCUGGAUGGCCGCCGGCAGCGGGGAGGUCCGGAACCAGCCGGGCAGCUGCCUGUGGACAGUGAGACAGUCCUAAGUGUUGAAAUAGCGCAGGAAUAAAUUGCAGCACUAAUGCCAGGCAGGCCCGGCGUCCCCCUGGACACCUUCCAUGGUGGCCCACUGCAGCCAAGAGGGGCCUCGCGUGGACCCGAAGAGGGCUCUUCCCCGUGGGACCGUGUCCCCGGGCCUGCUGCUGCCUGCGCAGGUUGUGCAGCUCGCAGGCCCUCCCGUCAGCAUUCCCAGGUCAGCAUUUAUUCAGCAGAAACAUGCAGCCUAAUAACCAACAGGCUGUCUUCCGAGAACAAGUGAUUUAUUUUAUUGCCUCAUUUUUAAACACUUCAGCGUGCCUCCCAAGAAGCUGUUUGGUUUGGAAAGUCACAAGAGAAGAUGCAAACUGAAGUGGGGAGCACUUCUCUGCACUUGCCGGGGACGCCAGCCUGCUCUGCGGGAAGGGUGGGGGAGCGGCCGUCGGGGCCGCUGGACUUGGCGGACCAUCCUGCUUGGGCUCUGACUCCCCAGUGAAGGUCUGAAACAGCACAUGGGUUGUUGUGAAAAGGAAAUAAAGAGUGUGGGUCUCUCUGCCUCUGGAAACAGGGCAUUCACGUGGAUCAGGUUCAGGGGGCGUCGUGGUGUUCGCCUGAAGGGGCACCUACCUGGGGGCGACAAACCAAGGCAGGAUGGACAGGGCCUCGGUCGCCGACACUCGCAGGAUCCCUGAAUGGGACAUUCUGCGCUCUUAGCCAUCAGCUCUUACCUAUUCUCUGCUGUUCCCAGAGCGGGAGGAGGCUUCUGGGAGGUGUCACCAGACUCUCUGGAAGGCCUCAAGGACCAUGAGAACAGGCAGUGAGCCUCGACGACUUCCCCAGCUUACAUCCCAUCCUGUCGUCCCAAUAGCCUGGUCUUGACUUGUCUUCUCCAGAGUCUCUCGACCUCGGCACUGUUGACAUUCCCGGUGGCGUAGUCUCUUGGUGUGGGAGCUCUCUGGUGCAUCGUAGGAUGUCCAGGGGUAUCCCUACCUCUACCCUCAAGAUGCCAGUGGCAUCCCCUAGUGGUGACAACCAACUGUGUCUCCAGACAUUUCUCACUAUCCUCUGCGAGGGUAAAACUGUCCCUGGUGAGAAUCACUGUUCUAAUCCAGCUCUCUUAUGACUGGGAGGAAGAAACUGAGGCCCAGAGGGGCUAAGACGUGUGCUCAAAGUAACACAGCGAGUCCAUAGUGGUGCAGCUGGGGCUUGGCCUCUUGCGCUGGGCUCCCAGAUGGGUGCUCGGUCCACUGCAAACAAAGCAGCAGUUGUGACGAGCCUGGUUUUAACAAAAGGCGUAACUGGAAUUCAUCCAGGGUCCCAUUCUCCCCUAGAAAUCACUGAGGUCGGGAGCACUCGGGCGGGGCAGAAGGCUGACCUCGUCAGCUGUGCGGAGAGCCAAGAGCGUUUGACUUCCAGGCCCCAACGUGGACCCUCUCCCACCCGACCCUGCACAGAGAACACAGCCACCCAGUUAGGGAACCUGGACAUUUGGACAAAAUAAUGAAGAGCUCCCCUCCCAGUGGUGCCAGCGUUCGUCCUCAAGGAUUUUCUUUUGCUUAAGCUUCACGAUGGUGACUUCAUCAUCAUCAUCAUCAUCGAUAAAUACUGCAAACUCCAAGUGCAUGACGUGUUGUUGCUCUUGUGAAACAAGUGGCCUGCAGUCUGCUCAAUAAACACCUUCCCGGGAUAUCAGAUCGUGUGUUGAAAUGUGUUCUGGGAAAGGCCGUUGAAAGGAACCCCCAGUAGGAAGGCUUUCAUGAUGCCAGAUUUCCCUUGUGAUUACUUCCUGAUUUUUGGUUCAAUAAAUGAAAUUCAGCAUC